rnacentral:lncRNA from 1 species
UGUGGAGAUCUAUCAGUGGUAUUGCAGGGGAGAGAUUGUUAAUGGCUGGUGAGGCUGGAGAAAGGAGCAGACUGAGAGGUUAUGUUAGAGAGACUGGCUCCCAGAAACAGGGUCAUCCAGUCAGGGUUGACUUGGCUCCUUUCAUUUCACACCUCUUUUCUUUUGAGUCAAGAUUGGGUUACUUUAAAAAAAAAAAAAGACUUCUUUUUUAUGUAUGAGUGUUUUUUCCUGAGCAUAUGUAUGUGCCCAGUGCCCUUGGAGCCAGAAGGAGUCAGAUUUCUUGGAACCUGUGGCCUGCUAUGUGGAUGCUGAAACUAAACCCAGGUCCUCUGCAAGUGCUCUUAAUGAUUGAGCCAUCUCUCCAGCCUUAGGCUUUUUGAAACAGUUACAGCAGGAAAUGUUGAAGCUGGGGAAAGACAGACUAGGACCCAGACUAUAGGUAGGGACUCUUACAGAACCAUUGCACCUCCAGUUACUUGUUUGGCUUUUUCUCAAAACUUUUUUAAUUUAGGAACUUCUGGGAAUAAAAACCCAUUCACUUCGUUUGUUUGUUUGUUUGUUUGUUUGUUUGUUUUUUCCCCGAGACAGGGUUUCUCUGUGUAGCCAAAACCCAUUCAUUUUCAUGUUUACCUUUUUUUCUUUUUUUAAAAAACCCCAUCAUAUCUAGUCUAUAUUUAGGCACCUUGUCUUUACUUAGGAGGUAUAUAUAUAUAUUUUUAAGGAACACAGGAUUAUAAUUGCUAGGAAAUACUUCCACUUCACUGAAAUAUUAAAUAUAGAUACUAUAUCUACAUACUUUUAUUUAUAUACAAACAUUAAAUGGAGAAAUAAGGUUGCAUAUUCAUAUAUAUCUUAAAGUAAGAUGUUUCAUCAUUUAUAAUGCUGUUAAGUGAGUUAUUUAUUCAGUUGUUUAUUCAGUUAUUCAGUCUCACGUUGUUUCUUAUGCUGGCGUUGGACACUAGGGUGCAAAGUAUAUCCUGCUCCUCCCAAGUAGCUGGGACUGCAGGUCUAGCCUCUACCACUCAGCUCAUUUUAGUGUGUUGUUUGCUUUGCUUUGCUUUGGUUUUGGUUUUGGUUUUUUCAGAUAGGAGACCCAUCAGCCUCUGCCUCUCGAGUACGAGGACAGGUAUGCACCCACCUUGGCAUUUAGUGUUUAAGGAAGGCGAUUUGCAUGUUCAUGAAACAAGACUUGAGGAGGACAUAUAGUCAGGACUGUAAUUUAGGCUCUGAAGAAGAAGUUGCCAUUUCUGUAACUGCCAUCUGCUUUGUCAUCAGCAGGUAACUACUCCCUUCUCUAGAGCUUCAUGCUCUGGUGGGUUUCACAACCUUCAUUAUACAUUAAAGGCACUCUUGCUUUGUUUGGGUUUAUCGACUGAUUCAUAUAGAUUAGAAGUAUUUUUUUUUUCCAAGUGAAGUUUUGAUUGAACAUUCUAAGAAACUGGAACAUUUUAGUAUUUGGAUAAUCUUCCUUGAGAUAAAAAGGUAAAAAUACUGUCGGUUUCGGGUACAUUAAAGUUUUUUUUUUGUUGUUGUUGUGAAACUAAUCAAUGUGUUACAGAAAAAGUGAAGACAGAUGUUCUAGCAACUGUAAUAGGUAUUUAAGGGCAGUCUGAUUGAUACCAGCACUCCAUUGCUUCCAGGAUUGAUUGGCCAAUCGACCUGGGUAGGUGGAUGGUCCUUACUGUUCCUUGUUUGUUUCUCUGAAGUUGUGUGUUCAGUUGAAGAAGAUGACUUUUGCAGUAGAGCAGGACUCAUCUUUGGUGGAGAUUCUCUCAGUAGUUGUGUUCUCUUGCUGAACCUCCAAACCAGCUUUGAAUGAUGAGAAACCUCAGGUUUUAGGUCUCAGCUUUAUUCCUGAGAAUAGACAUGCCUCUGAGCAGAGCAGGCUGCAGUAUCUCUAGCUGUUUUCAACUCUAGCUUUCCCCUUCUUUAAAUGCUCAUGUCUAAGUUUGCUUAAAAUUUCAACCUUCACUGUUUGUCGAUUGAGAGUCUUAAUUGUAAAUAUACAUUGGAAUGGAUGAUGUGCAGCCUUCGAAGACAAAAGGUGAGGUGAAUAGAGAUUUUUUUUUCCCAUUCAACAAUUGAUGAUGAGUUCUGCAUGGUAGAUUUCUUUAACUUUUUAUUAUUAUUAUUUUUUAAUCAUUUUAUUUGUUACAUUUCAAAUGUUCUUCCCCUCCAUGAAUCUCCCCCACCCCCUCCUCGCCCCUCUAGAACUCCUCUAGAGAUACCUUAAGAAGGUAUCUUAAGGGCUGGAGAGAUGGCUCAGUGGGUAAGAGUGCUGACUGCUCUUCUGAAGGUCCUGAGUUCAAAUCCCAGCAACCACGUGGUGGCUCACAACCAUCCGUAAUGAAAUAUGAUGCCUUCUUCUGCUGUGUCUGAAGACAGCUACAGUGUACUUAUGUAUAAUAAUAAAUAAAUAUUUUUAAAAAAGAAGGUAUCUGAAGCUUGAAGGUCUUCUGUAGCCACUGAUUGUGAAUCCUGUGGGACAAUGUACUAAUGUCACUGUCUUGUUCAUUAGAACUCUUUGUUUUCAAAUGUAAAUGACUGAAGACUUUUGUGAGAAUUGUCAGUGGUCUCAAGAAAAUGUUCAUCUACUC